rnacentral:lncRNA from 1 species
CUAACAGUUCUGAAUCUGAAAUAUUUCUCCUCAACAGACAGUGACAUAAAUAAUCUGAUCUCCUCAUGCCACUUGCUGAAUACAUUGCGUUUGAAAUAUUUUGAGGGCAUCAGUUGUCUCCGUAUUCAAGCUCCGGCACUACAGGUUUUAGAGGUUAAAGGGAACUUUAAAGACUUUCAUCUGAAUUCACCCAAUCUGUCCAGUGCGUAUAUUUCACCCGCAAAAACGGAAGAAGCGGUCAACUGGAAAAACUAUCUGAAGCAAGCUUUUGUCAGCCUAACUAGAAUAGAAACACUUGUUAUAAAAAGAUGCACCAUUGGCUUGCCUCAGGAGUUUGAAGGUUUCAAGCAGCUAACUGUCUUGAAUCUGAAAUAUUUCUCCUUGACAGAUAGAGAUAUAUAUAAGCUGAUCUCCUCGUGCCCCUGGCUGAAUAUGUUGCGUCUGAAAUAUUUGAGGACACUACAGCUUUUAGAGGUUCAAGGGGAUUUUGAAGACUUGCAUCUGCAUGCUCCUAAUCUGUUGUAUCUUACACUCGGCAAAACAGAAGCAGAACAAUCUGAUGCAGUUGUGGGUGACAAGAAAAACUAUCUGAAGCAAGCUUUUGUCAGCCUAACUAGUAUCGAAGAACUUACUAUAAGUGGCUCAUUCUUGACAUAUCUAUCAGAAGGGUGCUUGUUGGCAGAACUCCCAGGCGUGUUUGAUCGUCUAAGGAAGAUUUGUAUUGAGAAGUGCUCUUGGGUCUGGACAGAGGUCUUGGGUGCUUGUUCAAUAUUUCGGAAUGCCUCUAAGUUCAGAGAACUUGAGAUACGGAGCUUCUACAGCGAUGAAGAAUUUUGGUAUCAGCCAAUAUGGGAUAACGAUCAGGCGGAGAUUGAAGAGCCUACCUUGCAUCACCUCGUGACGGUGACCAUUAACGAUUUCGUGGGGCUGGAACACGAAAUCGCUCUUGUUGGACUGCUCCUGAGAUGGUCACCCACCUUAGAGGAACUGAAGAUAGUCAGGGAGGACGCGGAUGUCCCGAAUGAUGAUUGCAUGUUCAGGGUUCUUACCAAGUUACUGGCUCUCCCGAGGGCGUCUAGCAAAGCCAAGAUCAUUGUCAUCUGA